rnacentral:rRNA from 1 species
UACAGAGGUCCCAAGCGUUGUUCGGAUUCAUUGGGCGUAAAGGGUGCGUAGGUGGCGUCGUAAGUCGGGUGUGAAAUCUCGGGGCUUAACUCCGAAACUGCAUUCGAUACUGCCGUGCUUGAGGACUGGAGAGGAGACUGGAAUUUACGGUGUAGCGGUGAAAUGCGUAGAUAUCGUAAGGAAGACCAGUGGCGAAGGCGGGUCUCUGGACAGUUCCUGACGCUGAGGCACGAAGGCCAGGGGAGCAAACGGG